GAGUUUGAUCGUGGCUCAGAUUGAACGCUGGCGGCAUGCCUUACACAUGCAAGUCGAACGGCAGCAUGAUCUAGCUUGCUAGAUUGAUGGCGAGUGGCGAACGGGUGAGUAAUACAUCGGAACGUGCCCUGUAGUGGGGGAUAACUAGUCGAAAGAUUAGCUAAUACCGCAUACGACCUGAGGGUGAAAGUGGGGGACCGCAAGGCCUCAUGCUAUAGGAGCGGCCGAUGUCUGAUUAGCUAGUUGGUGGGGUAAAGGCCCACCAAAGCGACGAUCAGUAGCUGGUCUGAGAGGACGAUCAGCCACACUGGGACUGAGACACGGCCCAGACUCCUACGGGAGGCAGCAGUGGGGAAUUUUGGACAAUGGGCGAAAGCCUGAUCCAGCAAUGCCGCGUGUGUGAAGAAGGCCUCGGUGUAAG
rnacentral:rRNA from 1 species